AUGCUUGUUUCCACAGCACGUAUCCUAAAGUUGGAAGGAUACAGAGGAGAUUAACAUGGUCUCAGUGUAAGAACAACAACAACAACAACAAAAAUUAAUAAAUAAAUUAAUUAA
ensembl:snRNA Gm24848 predicted gene, 24848